rnacentral:ncRNA from 1 species
AAGGAGUAAUGCCGAAAAUCCUAUUCAACAGAGUAAGCA